rnacentral:rRNA from 1 species
GACGAACGCUGGCGGCGUGCCUAAUACAUGCAAGUAGGACGCAGUUGCGAACGGGUGAGUAACGCGUAGGUAACUACCUAUUAGAGGGGUAUAACUCUUUGAAACGAUAGCUCAUACCCCAUACUAGUAUCUUGACCUUCGUUGUUUUAGCUCGUAGGUAGGGUAAUGGCCUACCUAGGCAACGGUACAUUGCCGACCUGGGGUGGGGAUCGGCCAAACUGGGAUUGAGACACGGCCCAGACUCCUACGGGAGGCAGCAGUAGGGAAACUUCGGUAAUGGGGGGAACCCUGACCAAGCAACGCCGCGUGAGGGAAGAAGGUGUUCGGAUCGUAAAGCUCUGUUGGUAAGGAAGCGGGAAUUAAAGAGAAAGGGACGGCUAACUACGUGCCAGCAGCCGCGGUAAUAG